rnacentral:rRNA from 1 species
UACGAAGGGUGCAAGCGUUAAUCGGAAUUACUGGGCGUAAAGCGCGCGUAGGUGGUUCGUUAAGUUAGGAGUGAAAGCCCCGGGCUCAACCUGGAAAUUGCUUCUAAAACUGGCGAGCUAGAGUAUGGUAGAGGGUGGUGGAAUUUCCUGUGUAGCGGUGAAAUGCGUAGAUAUAGGAAGGAACAUCAGUGGCGAAGGCGGCUCUCUGGACUGUAACUGACGCUGAGGCACGAAAGCGUGGGGAGCAAACAGGAUUAGAUACCCCUGUAGUCCCUGA